GGUGCGAAGCUCCCCUAACCCCCCGGCAGGUGCUGCUCCGGCCGCGCUGGGGACCGCGUCUCCCCGCCAUUGAGGGCUCUACGUGGCUCUGUCACCUGUUCUGUCCAGUUGUGACCUGUACCAACCUCAGGAGUUGUAGGAAGGACACAGGGGGACCCAGGAAACCUAGAAAUGGACUCGGUGGUCAUUGAGUUUGUGUCUGUGACCUUCACCCUGGAGGAGUGGGCUUUACUGGAUCCUUCACAGAAGAAACUCUACAGAGACGUGAUGCAGGAAAUCUUCAGGAAUCUGGCCUCAAUUGGAAAGAUCAUGACACCAAAGAUCUGUACAGAAACCAGGGGAGAAAACUAAGGUGGGUCACACUCGCUAUGGAAAGCAGUGUCUCAGAAGCCAUAAGGUAGAGACUCUGUGAAAGUGAAGAGGGUAGUGAUUGUGGAGAAAACUUCAGCCUUACUCUAAAUCUCGUUUUGAACAAGAAAACUCCUAGAGUGAAACCACAUGAAUGCAGUGCGUGUGGAAAAGUCUUCACGCAUCAUUCAUCCCUUAAUAGGCAAUAAGGUGUCACAAUGAACACAAACCAUCUGAGUAAAAAAAUAUGGAGAGAAACCAUAGAAAUGUAAGAUAUGUGGGAAAGCCUCUGUUUAUCUCUACAUUUUAGAAAAACAUGGAAGAAAUCACAAUGGAGAGAAAACCUAUAAGUGUCAGGAAUGUGGGAAAGCCUUUAUGUGGCUCAAAACCCUACGAAGACAUAUGAGAAUGCACACUGGAGAUGCUCCUUAUAAAUGUAAAGAAUGUGAGAAACCCUUCUGUUGUUCUAGUUCACUUCAAGUACAUGAAAGAACACACACUGGAGAGAAACCGUAUGAAUGUGCAAAAUGCAGUAAAGCGUUCAGUUGUCCCAGUUCUCUUCAAAGACGUGAAAAAACUCAUACUGGGAAGAAACUCUAUGAAUGUAAGGAAUAUGGGAGAGCCUGCAGAUAUUAUACCUCCUUACAGAUGCACGAAAGGACUCACACAGGAGAGAAACCCUAUGAAUGUAAGCAACGCAGGAAAGCCUUCAUUUGUCACACAAACUUUCAAAGACACUUGAGAACGCACACUGGAGAGAAACCAUAUAAAUGUGCGGAAUGCGGGAAGGCCUUCUGUGAUCCCGGUACUUUCCAAAGGCAUGAAAGGACACACUAGAGAACACUUCAGCAUGGGAAGGUCUUCAAUUGGCCCACUUCCUAAAAUGUGACAACUCCCACCAAAAAGAAAUAAAUGUAAAUAACAUGAGACAGCUUGAGAUAGCUUGAUGGGAAUUAAUGCAUGCAUAAUGUUCCAGAAAACUUUUCAUUGUGAAAGAGUUGUUAUCAAAGUUGUAAAUAUAUAGUGUUUAAGCCUCUUUCUUAAGGUACACGACUGGACUGUGGAUUUCUACUAAUUACUUCUAGAAAUGAAUAUUGAAGUGAGAUAAUUCUACAAGUAGUACAUAAGAUUAAUAGAUGGUGAUUUUUCCUUAAA